AACGAACGCUGGCGGCAUGCCUAACACAUGCAAGUCGAACGAAGGCUUCGGCCUUAGUGGCGCACGGGUGAGUAACGCGUGGGACACUGCCUAUUGGUGGGGAAUAACGACGGGAAACUGUCGCUAAUACCGCAUAAGCCCUUCGGGGGAAAGAUUUAUCGCCGAUAGAUGUGCCCGCGUCCGAUUAGCUAGUUGGUGAGGUAAUGGCUCACCAAGGCGACGAUCGGUAGCUGGUCUGAGAGGAUGAUCAGCCACACUGGGCCUGAGACACGGCCCAGACUCCUACGGGAGGCAGCAGUGGGGAAUAUUGGACAAUGGGCGAGAGCCUGAUCCAGCAAUGCCGCGUGAGUGAUGAAGGCCUUAGGGUUGUAAAGCUCUUUCGGGUGGGACGAUGAUGACGGUACCACCAGAAGAAGCCCCGGCUAACUUCGUGCCAGCCGCCGCAGUAA
rnacentral:rRNA from 1 species